rnacentral:rRNA from 1 species
GAUGAACGCUGGCGGCGUGCCUAAUACAUGCAAGUCGAGCGAAUGGAUUAAGAGCUUGCUCUUAUGAAGUUAGCGGCGGACGGGUGAGUAACACGUGGGUAACCUGCCCAUAAGACUGGGAUAACUCCGGGAAACCGGGGCUAAUACCGGAUAACAUUUGGAACCGCAUGGUUCGAAAUUGAAAGGCGGCUUCGGCGGUCACUUAUGGAUGGACCCGCGUCGCAUUAGCUAGUUGGUGAGGUAACGGCUCACCAAGGCAACGAUGCGUAGCCGACCUGAGAGGGUGAUCGGCCACACUGGGACUGAGACACGGCCCAGACUCCUACGGGAGGCAGCAGUAGGGAAUCUUCCGCAAUGGACGAAAGUCUGACGGAGCAACGCCACGUGAGUGAUGAAGGCUUUCGGGUCGUAAAACUCUGUUGUUAGGGAAGAACAAGUGCUAGUUGAAUAAGCUGGCACCUUGACGGUACCUAACCAGAAAGCCACGGCUAACUACGUGCCAGCCGCCGCAGUAA